rnacentral:rRNA from 1 species
GAUGAACGCUGGCGGCGUGCCUAAUACAUGCAAGUCGAGCGAACGGACGAGAAGCUUGCUUCUCUGAUGUUAGCGGCGGACGGGUGAGUAACACGUGGAUAACCUACCUAUAAGACUGGGAUAACUUCGGGAAACCGGAGCUAAUACCGGAUAAUAUUUUGAACCGCAUGGUUCAAAAGUGAAAGACGGUCUUGCUGUCACUUAUAGAUGGAUCCGCGCUGCAUUAGCUAGUUGGUAAGGUAACGGCUUACCAAGGCAACGAUGCAUAGCCGACCUGAGAGGGUGAUCGGCCACACUGGAACUGAGACACGGUCCAGACUCCUACGGGAGGCAGCAGUAGGGAAUCUUCCGCAAUGGGCGAAAGCCUGACGGAGCAACGCCGCGUGAGUGAUGAAGGUCUUCGGAUCGUAAAACUCUGUUAUUAGGGAAGAACAUAUGUGUAAGUAACUGUGCACAUCUUGACGGUACCCUAUCAGAAAGCCACGGCUAACUACGUGCCAGCAGCCGCGGUAAUACGUAGGUGGCAAGCGUUAUCCGGAAUUAUUGGGCGUAAAGCGCGCGUAGGCGGUUUUUUAGUCUGAUGUGAAAGCCCACGGCUCAUUCGUGGAGGGUCAUUGGAAACUGGAAAACUUGAGUGCAGAAGAGGAAAGUGGAAUUCCAUGUGUAGCGGUGAAAUGCGCAGAGAUAUGGAGGAACACCAGUGGCGAAGGCGACUUUCUGGUCUGUAACUGACGCUGAUGUGCGAAAGCGUGGGGAUCAAACAGGAUUAGAUACCCUGGUAGUCCACGCCGUAAACGAUGAGUGCUAAGUGUUAGGGGGUUUCCGCCCCUUAGUGCUGCAGCUAACGCAUUAAGCACUCCGCCUGGGGAGUACGACCGCAAGGUUGAAACUCAAAGGAAUUGACGGGGACCCGCACAAGCGGUGGAGCAUGUGGUUUAAUUCGAAGCAACGCGAAGAACCUUACCAAAUCUUGACAUCCUUUGACAACUCUAGAGAUAGAGCCUUCCCCUUCGGGGGACAAAGUGACAGGUGGUGCAUGGUUGUCGUCAGCUCGUGUCGUGAGAUGUUGGGUUAAGUCCCGCAACGAGCGCAACCCUUAAGCUUAGUUGCCAUCAUUAAGUUGGGCACUCUAAGUUGACUGCCGGUGACAAACCGGAGGAAGGUGGGGAUGACGUCAAAUCAUCAUGCCCCUUAUGAUUUGGGCUACACACGUGCUACAAUGGACAAUACAAAGGGCAGCGAAACCGCGAGGUCAAGCAAAUCCCAUAAAGUUGUUCUCAGUUCGGAUUGUAGUCUGCAACUCGACUACAUGAAGCUGGAAUCGCUAGUAAUCGUAGAUCAGCAUGCUACGGUGAAUACGUUCCAGGGUCU